AUCCUCUUCUCCUUAGAGCCUCCAUCAGAGCAUGGCUGUCUUGGUGCUGCUACUCUGCCUGGUCACCUUUCCAAGCUGUGUCCUGGCCCAGGUGCAUCUGAAGGUGUCAGGACCUGACCUGGUGCAACCCUCACAGACCUUGUCCCUCACCUGCACUGUCUCCGGAUUCUCAUUAACUAACUAUGAAGUACAUUGGGUUCGCCAGCCCCCAGGAAAGAGUCUGGAGUGGAUGGGAGCUGUGUGGAGUGGUGGAAGCACAGAAUAUAAUUCAGCUCUCAAAUCCAGACUGAGCAUCACCAGGGACACCUCUAAGAGCCAGGUUUUCUUAAAAAUGAACAAUAUGCAGACUGAGGACACAGCCACCUACUACUGUGCCAGAAACACAGUGAAGGAAGUCAAGUAUAAACCUGCACAAAAAAACUCCCUACAGGGAUCCUUAAGACCAGCAGGGGGCAGUGACAACCAACAAGAACUUCCAAAGCUCACUUCAGAAUCUAAGAAAUUCUGGUCUAUGCUGUGUGAACAUGCUUUUUAA